rnacentral:rRNA from 1 species
GACGAACGCUGGCGGCGUGCUUAACACAUGCAAGUCGAACGGAGAGGCCCUGCUUUUGUGGGGUGCUCGAGUGGCGAACGGGUGAGUAACACGUGAGUAACCUGCCCUUGACUUUGGGAUAACUUCAGGAAACUGGGGCUAAUACCGGAUAGGAGCUCCUGCUGCAUGGUGGGGGUUGGAAAGUUUCGGCGGUUGGGGAUGGACUCGCGGCUUAUCAGCUUGUUGGUGGGGUAGUGGCUUACCAAGGCUUUGACGGGUAGCCGGCCUGAGAGGGUGACCGGCCACAUUGGGACUGAGAUACGGCCCAGACUCCUACGGGAGGCAGCAGUGGGGAAUAUUGCACAAUGGGCGGAAGCCUGAUGCAGCAACGCCGCGUGCGGGAUGACGGCCUUCGGGUUGUAAACCGCUUUCGCCUGUGACGAAGCGUGAGUGACGGUAAUGGGUAAAGAAGCACCGGCUAACUACGUG